rnacentral:rRNA from 1 species
UAGGGAAUCUUCCACAAUGGACGAGAGUCUGAUGGAGCAACGCCGCGUGAGUGAAGAAGGGUUUCGGCUCGUAAAACUCUGUUGUUAAAGAAGAACAUAUCUGAGAGUAACUGUUCAGGUAUUGACGGUAUUUAACCAGAAAGCCACGGCUAACUACGUGCC